rnacentral:rRNA from 1 species
UAGUCCUCGUACCUUUUGCAUCAUGAUUUAGCAAGUUAAAUUAAGCAAAGAGCCCUUUAGUUUAAUAUCCCGAAACUGAGUGAGCUACUCCAAGACAGCCUGUAGACAGGGCAAACCCGUCUCUGUGGCAAAAGAGUGGGAAGAUCUUCGAGUAGUGGCGACAAACCUACCGAACUCAGUUAUAGCUGGUUGCUUGAGAAUUGAAUAUGAGUUCAGCCUCUCAGCUUCUUAAUAAACUAAGAGAGUUAGUCAAAGGAGGUACAGCCCCUUUGAAAUAGACACAACUUUAACAGGAGAGUAAGGAUCAUACUAAUUAAGGAAUAUGUUCUACGUGGGCUUUAAAGCAGCCAUCCCCUUACAAAAGCGUAACAGCUCAAACAGCAAAUUAAGAUAACACCAUCCAAACCCCCUAACACUAUCAAGCCAUUCCAUAAACAUGGAAGAGACCAUGCUAAUAUGAGUAAUAAGAGAAACCCCUCUCUCCAGCGUACAUGUGUAAGUUGGCACAACAACCAACCAACUAUUAACGACCACAACCUCAAAGAGCGGAAUGAAGCAGAACUAGAAAAGCCUUCAUCGUUAACCCAACACAGGCGUACAAUAAAGGAAAGACUAAAAGGAUAAGAAGGAACUCGGCAAAAUAGCCUCGCCUGUUUACCAAAAACAUCGCCUCUUGAUUACAUAAGAGGUCCUGCCUGCCCAAUGACAACACGUUGAAUGGCCGCGGUAUCUUAACCGUGCGAAGGUAGCGCAAUCACUUGUCUUUUAAAUGAAGACCUGUAUGAAUGGCAAGACGAGGGCUUAACUGUCUCCUUUCCCCAGUCAAUGAAAUUGAUCUCCCCGUGCAGAAGCGGGGAUAACAACAUAAGACGAGAAGACCCUGUGGAGCUUUAGACAAAAACCGCUCAUGUUAAAUACCAUCAAAUAAGAAAAGUAAAAUAAUGAUUUCCGUUUCAUGUCUUCGGUUGGGGCGACCUUGGGGAAAUACAAAACCCCCAUAUGGAAGGAAGCAUCUUCCAAAAGCUAGAGAAUACAACUCUAACUAACAGAAUUUCUGACCUUCCUUGACCCGGCAGUGCCGAUCAAUGAACCAAGUUACCCCAGGGAUAACAGCGCAAUCCCCUUAUAGAGCCCGUAUCAGCAAGGGGGUUUACGACCUCGAUGUUGGAUCAGGACAUCCUAA